GACGAACGCUGGCGGCGUGCUUAACACAUGCAAGUCGAACGGAAAGACCCUGCUUUUGUGGGGUGCUCGAGUGGCGAACGGGUGAGUAACACGUGAGUAACCUGCCCUUGACUUUGGGAUAACUUCAGGAAACUGGGGCUAAUACCGGAUAGGAGCUCCUGCUGCAUGGUGGGGGUUGGAAAGUUUCGGCGGUUGGGGAUGGACUCGCGGCUUAUCAGCUUGUUGGUGGGGUAGUGGCUUACCAAGGCUUUGACGGGUAGCCGGCCUGAGAGGGUGACCGGCCACAUUGGGACUGAGAUACGGCCCAGACUCCUACGGGAGGCAGCAGUGGGGAAUAUUGCACAAUAGGCGGAAGCCUGAUGCAGCAACGCCGCGUGCGGGAUGACGGCCUUCGGGUUGUAAACCGCUUUCGCCUGUGACGAAGCGUGAGUGACGGUAAUGGGUAAAGAAGCACCGGCUAACUACGUG
rnacentral:rRNA from 1 species